rnacentral:rRNA from 1 species
UACAGGGGGGGCAAGCGUUGUUCGGAAUUACUGGGCGUAAAGGGUCUGUAGGUGGCCAACUAAGUCAGACGUGAAAUCCCUCAGCUUAACUGGGGAACUGCGUCUGAUACUGGAUGGCUCGAGUGUGGGAGAGGAAUGCGGAAUUCCAGGUGUAGCGGUGAAAUGCGUAGAUAUCAGGAGGAACACCGAUGGCGAAGGCAGUGUUCUGGGCCAGUACUGACGCUGAGGAGCGAAAGCGUGGGGAGCAAACAGG